rnacentral:misc_RNA from 1 species
GAUGAAGAACGCAGCGAAAUGCGAUAAGUAAUGCGAAUUGCAGAAUUCAGUGAGUCAUCGAAUCUUUGAACGCACAUUGCGCCCUGUGGUAUUCCGCAGGGCAUGCCUGUUCGAGCGUCAUUUCAACCCUCAAGCCCCGCUUGGUGUUGGGCCCCGCCCGCCGUGGCCGGCCCUAAAGACAGUGGCGGCGCCGCCUGGCCCUCAGUGUAGUACAGCUCUCGCUCCAGGGUCCGGCGGCCGCCUGCCAGAACCCCCCCAACUCUGUGGUUGACCUCGGAUCAGGUAGGGAUACCCGCUGAACUUAAGCAUAUCAAUAAGCGGAGGA